GAACAAUCAUAAUCAUCCUCAUCUAUACUACAUCACUCGAUUACUCCCCUAUUCCUUCUCUAACUCUUUCUAUCUCACAAAUCGUUCUUUAUCUCGAGCUUAAAUCGAUUUCGAUCCGAUUAUUUUUUGUGGGGUUUGAUUCUUUAGCUUUAAUGUUGACUAGAUUCAUGAAAACAGACUCUUGUUGAAAUCUAAUUCUGAGUGUUUAUUUAUGUAUUUUUGUAUUAUUGUUUUUUUACAGAUUGGAAAUAUUUGAAUUGAUCUUCCAACAAGUGAAGGAAAAUCUGCUGCUAAUGUUGCUUAGCAUGCCGACCAUGGAAUUCUCAGCUGAAGAUGCUGACAUGCAAUGCAGUUGAAAUCAUGAACAUGGAGAUGCCUACGAAAGAUAAUGAUAGGGAAUCCAAAGAGGGGGGUGGAGAGGUUUGAACACUAUAUAGGGAAUUUGAAGACGGGAAAAAAGAAAGGGAGGCUGAGGAAGAGUAUCGCGAAGAAUAAGACCAUAAUAUAAUGUUCUUUUCAUCGUUGUGGGAUGCUUGUAGGCUUCAACACAAAUCUGAUCAUGAAUGAUGUGAACUUCAACAAUUUUAUCAGGAGUCCGAAGUUAUCUAAAGGAUAUACUCUACCAUUUCAGUUGGAAAACUUAUGACUUACAAGCACAUUAUCCGUGUUGUUGUUACAAGGAUAUCUUCUUUGGUGCAGAUGUGGGUUUCCUCUUUGAAGAUUUGGCAAAUGAAUUGAACAUAAUUAGAGUUGAAUGUUUUUACAGACUUCGUUUCGGGGGUUUCAUCUAUCUUUUGGUGCAGGAUAUAUAAUACACUAUGUCGAAACCAAAUCUGUUAAGCGGGAUGGUGCUUAUUGAUGAGACAAUGUUGUUCGUGACACAGUCAUUCCUCCUGCUUUUCAAAGUGCCACCUACAACUGAAGAAGGUUUCU